rnacentral:rRNA from 1 species
GCCCGGGCUUCGGCCUGGUUAUUCAUAACCCUUUGUUGUCCGACUCUGUUGCCUCCGGGGCGACCCUGCCUUCGGGCGGGGGCUCCGGGUGGACACUUCAUACUCUUGCGUAACUUUGCAGUCUGAGUAAACUUAAUUAAUAAAUUAAAACUUUUAACAACGGAUCUCUUGGUUCUGGCAUCGAUGAAGAACGCAGCGAAAUGCGAUAAGUAAUGUGAAUUGCAGAAUUCAGUGAAUCAUCGAAUCUUUGAACGCACAUUGCGCCCCCUGGUAUUCCGGGGGGCAUGCCUGUUCGAGCGUCAUUUCACCACUCAAGCCUCGCUUGGUAUUGGGCAACGCGGUCCGCCGCGUGCCUCAAAUCGUCCGGCUGGGUCUUCUGUCCCCUAAGCGUUGUGGAAACUAUUCGCUAAAGGGUGUUCGGGAGGCUACGCCGUAAAACAACCCCAUUUCUAACGUUGACCUCGGAUCACGUAGGGAUACCCGCUGAACUUAAGCAUAUCAAU